CCACAGUUAAGAUUAGCUGGGCUUCGAGCUUCUAUGGCUUGCCUUACUCUUUCAGGAAUAUUUCAGGGAUUCCUCAGGGAUACAAUUAGAGUAGCUGUGCAUUUUAAAGGGCACGUGUCUCCUCGAAACACCUUCCGAUUUCUCCACAACAUGCUGCUUGUAGCCAAAGAUUGAAUAAGGAGCCCAAUACAGAUGGAAACCUAAUCAGUCCUAUUCACCAUGGUGACCCACCUUCACAUGGUACCUGCAGCACAAUGAAUACUGCAUGGAUGAAGAAAAGAACCACACUGGAUCUCAUGGAGGCAUUUCCUCAGCCGAGGCUCCUGGCUCUCUGAUGACUCCGGCUGUUGUCAAGCUGACACGCAAAACCAGCCGGCGCAAGGUGUUUUGGUGUGCUCCACAGGAGAACUUACUAAAUCCCACUCCUGCAACUCUUCUGUUGUUGAUUGGCAUGUAACUGUUUUGUUUCAGCCAGGUACCAAAAAGACAUAUGGAUUCCCCCUCUCCAUCAUUCCGACAACUAUUCACUGGGUCCCAGACAAGCAGAACUGUGAACAAGGCAGAAGGAUCCACUGCCCUCUCUCCACCCACACCCCCGCCUUCUCGCGGUCACGUGCAGAGAUCUCUCCAUUUUAUUCCCAGCGCUUUUUGUACCUUCCUUCCAUCCUUGUUGCUCCUGGCCUGUCUGGCACAUGUGGUUGCAAGAUGCCCCCGCCCCGCAUCCCUGCUCGAGCAUGCCCCUCAUCUCCUCUGCCUUCCACGGUGCUACAGAGAAUGGGUUUAACAACCAAGCCCAAACACAUCUUACCAAAUCAACACGAAUCAUCACAACACAUCACCUAAUCGCCUUUGCCUGUUGCACAAAGACCUUUGUUCGGCCCAUGCUCGCUUGCAAUCUCAUUUUCCUUUGCUUGGCCUACCUUGCCAACAUUGGCAGCUGUGUACACCCUGUGUUGUGUCACUGUUCCCCAGGGCUAAGCUCUUGUAUAGGUUGCUCCAGACUGCUGAACCCUCACAGCUCACUGAAGUGUCCCAGGACCUCAGCUCAAAAUACCAUUCUUUUAUGAAGUCUUUAGUACUUUCAGAAAUUUUUAUUAAUCAAUCUCAAUGCAACUUCAUUGGUUAAAAAACUACUAUAUUUUAUUAUAACUGCUUGAAUCUCUUUGAAAACAAAAACUCAUUGUCUUUCAUUUUAAUGUCAAUGGCAACUCUCUAGUCAACCAUUUUUGACAUAAUGAACACAAAAUCCAUGGUUCUUCUUAUAGUAAAACUUAUGUCAUGUAGCAGAUGUGUACUUUGGCCAUCAUGGGAGUCCCCUAACAAUGGGAGUAGGGCCUGUCUCUGACUCUACGGCCUUCCUUUGGAUCCCUUUCCCAUAGCUGGACUGCCUUGUCUGGCCUCAGUGGAAGAGAAUGCGCUUACCCCUGCUGUAAUUUGAUGUGCCAGGGUGGGUUAGUACCCAUG